rnacentral:rRNA from 1 species
UACGUAGGGGGCGAGCGUUGUCCGGAUUUAUUGGGCGUAAAGAGCGUGUAGGCGGCCAGGUAGGUCUGCUGUGAAAACUCGAGGCUCAACCUCGAGACGUCGGCGGAAACCAUCUGGCUAGAGUCCGGAAGAGGAGAGUGGAAUUCCUGGUGUAGCGGUGAAAUGCGCAGAGUAUCAGGAAGAACACCCGUGGCGAAGGCGGCUCUCUGGGACGGUACUGACGCUGAGACGCGAAAGCGUGGGGAGCGAACAG